rnacentral:rRNA from 1 species
UACGUAGGGCGCAAGCGUUAUCCGGAAUUAUUGGGCGUAAAGAGCUCGUAGGCGGUUUGUCGCGUCUGCCGUGAAAGUCCGGGGCUCAACUCCGGAUCUGCGGUGGGUACGGGCAGACUAGAGUGCGGUAGGGGAGAUCGGAAUUCCUGGUGUAGCGGUGAAAUGCGCAGAUAUCAGGAGGAACACCGGUGGCGAAGGCGGAUCUCUGGGCCGUAACUGACGCUGAGGAGCGAAAGCAUGGGGAGCGAACAGG